CAUGGUUGUCGUCAGCUCGUGUCGUGAGAUGUUGGGUUAAGUCCCGCAACGAGCGCAACCCUUGACUUUAGUUGCCAGCAGGUUGAGCUGGGCACUCUAGAGUGACUGCCGGUGACAAACCGGAGGAAGGUGGGGAUGACGUCAAAUCAUCAUGCCCCUUAUGACCUGGGCUACACACGUACUACAAUGGCCGGUACAACGGGAAGCGAAGCCGCGAGGUGGAGCCAAUCCCAGCAAAGCCGGUCUCAGUUCGGAUUGCAGGCUGCAACUCGCCUGCAUGAAGUCGGAAUUGCUAGUAAUCGCGGAUCA
rnacentral:rRNA from 1 species